GACGAACGCUGGCGGCGUGCUUAACACAUGCAAGUCGAACGAAGUGUCGAACGGGUGAGUAACACGUAAUCCACCUGCCCUUCAGAGGGGGACAACAGUUGGACACGACUGCUAAUACCGCAUACUGAAGGAGGGGAUUGCGUCUGAUUAGCUAGUUGGAGGGUUAACGGCCCACCAAGGCGAUGAUCAGGAGACGGUCGGAGGGGAGGAAAGGCCACAGGGGGACUGAGACACGGCCCAGACUCCGACGGGAGGCAGCAGUAGGGAAUCUGCGGCAAUGGACGAAAGUCUGACCGAGAAAAGACGCGUGAGUGAAGAAGGGUUUAGGAUCGUAAAACGCUGUUGUAAGAGAAGCGGUAUCUUACCAGAAAGCCACGGCUAACUACGGGCCAGCAGCCGCGGUAAUUC
rnacentral:rRNA from 1 species